rnacentral:rRNA from 1 species
GUGGGGAAUCUUAGACAAUGGGCGCAAGCCUGAUCUAGCCAUGCCGCGUGAUCGAUGAAGGCCUUAGGGUUGUAAAGAUCUUUCAGCUGGGAAGAUAAUGACUGUACCAGCAGAAGAAGCCCCGGCUAACUCCGUGCCAGCAGCCGCGGUAAUACGGAGGGGGCUAGCGUUAUUCGGAAUUACUGGGCGUAAAGCGCACGUAGGCGGAUUGGAAAGUCAGAGGUGAAAUCCCAGGGCUCAACCUUGGAACUGCCUUUGAAACUCCCAGUCUUGAGGUCGAGAGAGGUGAGUGGAAUUCCGAGUGUAGAGGUGAAAUUCGUAGAUAUUCGGAGGAACACCAGUGGCGAAGGCGGCUCACUGGCUCGAUACUGACGCUGAGGUGCGAAAGCGUGGGGAGCAAACAGGAUUAGAUACCCGAGUAGUCC